rfam:Spirochaeta thermophila DSM 6578, complete genome.
CGGGCUGUAGCGCAGGGGCUAGCGCGCUUGGUUCGGGACCAAGAGGCCGCGGGUUCAAAUCCCGCCAGCCCGA